rnacentral:tRNA from 1 species
GGGGUUGUGGCUCAGUGGUAGAGUGCUUGCCUCAUAUGUGUGAGUCACUGGGUUCAAUUCUCAGCACCA